CCUACGGGAGGCAGCAGUAGGGAAUUUUGCGCAAUGGGCGAAAGCCUGACGCAGCAACGCCGCGUGAUCGAGACGCCCUUCGGGGUGCAAAGAUCUGUCAGUGGGGGCGAAACUUGACGGUACCCACAGAGGAAGCACCGGCUAACACCGUGCCAGCAGCCGCGGCUAUACGGGGGGUGCAAACGUUGUCCGGAAUCAUUGGGCGUAAAGAGGUCGUAGGCGGCACGGAAAGUCUGGUGUUAAAGGCAGAGGCUCAACUUCUGUACGGCACUGGAUACUUGCGGGCUAGAAUGCGGUAGAGGUAAGGGGAAUUCCUGGUGUAGCGGUGAAAUGCUUAGAUAUCAGGAAGAACAUCGGUGGCGAAGGCGCUUUACUGGGCCGUAAUUGACGCUGAGGAACGAAAGCGAGGGUAGCAAAUGGGAUUAGAUACCCCAGUAGUC
rnacentral:rRNA from 1 species